rnacentral:rRNA from 1 species
CCUACGGGAGGCAGCAGUGAGGAAUAUUGGUCAAUGGGCGGAAGGCUGAACCAGCCAAGCCGCGUGAGGGACGAAGGUGCAAAGCAUUGUAAACUUCUUUUGUCAAGGGACAAAAUCAGGCACGAGAGCCUGACCGAGGGUACCUGAAGAAAAAGCAUCGGCUAACUCCGUGCCAGCAGCCGCGGUAAUACGGAGGAUGCGAGCGUUAUCCGGAUUUAUUGGGUUUAAAGGGAGCGUAGGCCGGUCUUUAAGCGUGCGGUCAAAGUUUGUGGCGCCACCCUGGGAGUGCGGUGCAAACUGGAGGCCUGGAGUGCGCGGGAGGCACGCGGAAUGCGUGGUGUAGCGGUGAAAUGCUUAGAUAUCGCGAAGAACCCCGAUUGCGAAGGCAGCCUGCCGCAGCGUUACUGACGCUGAGGCUCGAAAGCGCGGGUAUCGAACAGGAUUAGAUACCCUUGUAGUC